AACGAACGCUGGCGGCAUGCCUAACACAUGCAAGUCGAACGAGACCUUCGGGUCUAGUGGCGCACGGGUGCGUAACGCGUGGGAACCUGCCUUUAGGUUCGGAAUAACUCAGAGAAAUUUGAGCUAAUACCGGAUAAUGUCUUCGGACCAAAGAUUUAUCGCCUUUAGAUGGGCCCGCGUAAGAUUAGCUAGUUGGUGGGUAAAGGCCUACCAAGGCGACGAUCUUUAGCUGGUCUGAGAGGAUGAUCAGCCACACUGGGACUGAGACACGGCCCAGACUCCUACGGAGGCAGCAGUGGGGAAUAUUGGACAAUGGGCGAAAGCCUGAUCCAGCAAUGCCGCGUGAGUGAUGAAGGCCUUAGGGUUGUAAAGCUCUUUCACCGGUGAAGAUAAUGACGGUAACCGGAGAAGAAGCCCCGGCUAACUUCGUGCCAGCAGCCGCGGUAAU
rnacentral:rRNA from 1 species